rnacentral:lncRNA from 1 species
CAUAAUCCCAGCACCAACAAUUGUGGUUAACAAAUUGAAGACAACCCUGGAGAAAGAAGCUCCAUUGAACUCGUCAAAACUACCCUCCUCAUGCUUUUUGGGAAGUAAGGAGCAUUUUCAUCUACCGGCCGUUUCCCCUUCCUGGAUUUCCUAUCUUUCUUUGGACCAAAGUUCACAAUCGUCAUCUCUUUCAAUUAGGAGCUCGGAGGUUAUUGGUGGCCAAAUUGGAGCUCGAAGAGGGUGAAAUUUGAGAAGAGGAGAAGGAAUUGUUGCCGACGGGGAAGAAGUUCAAGAGGAAGAUAGGCGACGGUGGGAGUGAGGAUUCCAUGACUACGCCGUACAAAUUGGGGGUGGCGUGGCGUCAUCCAAGAGAAGGGACUCUACGAAGAAGAUGGAGAGGUUGAGGAAAUCUGUGGUGGCAUCUGGUUAUGGAGGAGGGGAGACUCCGAGGUAUUUGUUGAGGAGUAUGUGCAAGGAGGAGAACAAGACGACGACGAAGUUGCCGCUGCCGACGGUGGCUGCUCUUGGUAUGCCGGCGGUUGAAUUGGAGAGAUCUACGAUUCCGAGUGGGCGGAAGAUUGGAGUGAGGAGAUCAGUUAGGAAGAUCUGAAUCUGAUUCUUAUUAUAUUUUUCAUAUUAGGAAGAAAAACAGAGUCUGCUAUGUAUUCAGAGAUUGAUUGAGUUUGCUUUGCCCUUAGGUUGUGUACUACAAUAAGGUUAACAAUCUUUUAAUUACAUCAGCGUGGGCUAGCGGAAGAAGAAAGGAUUUUUUUAGAUAAUAAAAAAUAUAUUCAAUAGCUCGUAACUUACGCUAAAAUAUGUAGAGAUUAUGUAUAUUUCGG